UGACCGCGUACUUUUUGUAGAACGGGCCAACGAGUUACGUUAAGUAGCAAGGUUAAGCACUUAAGGUGCGGAGCCGUAGCGAAAGCGAGUUUUAACUGAGCGUUCAGUUACUUGACGUAGACCCGAAACCGGGCGACCUACCCAUGAGCAGGACGAAGCGAAAGUAAAAUUUCGUGGAGGUCCGAACCCACGAGCGUUGAAAAGCUCGGGGAUGACUUGUGGGUAGCGGUGAAAUUCCAAUCGAGCCCGGAGAUAGCUGGUUCUCCCCGAAAUAGCUUUAGGGCUAGCCUCAAGGUGAGAGAUACGGAGGUAGAGCACUGAAUGUCCUAGGGGGUAUUGCACCUACCGAAGACUAUCAAACUCCGAAUGCCGUCAUCUUAUACUUGGGAGUCAGACUGUGGGUGAUAAGAUUCAUAGUCGAAAGGGCAACAGCCCAGAUCGUCAGCUAAGGUCCCUAAAUGUAAGUUAAGUGGUAAAGGAUGUGGGAUUGCACAGACAACCAGGAUGUUGGCUUAGAAGCAGCCACUCAUUCAAAGAGUGCGUAAUAGCUCACUGGUCGAGUGAUCCUGCGCCGAAGAUUUCCGGGGCUAAAACUUACUACCGAAGCUACGGCAUCAGUAAUGAUGGGUAGGGGAGCUUCCCAUACGGGUUGAAGCAUGACCG
rnacentral:rRNA from 1 species